GGGGGCGAAAGGGUUCGACAGGGUCGAUCCGAGCACCGGUUGCGAGCCGAGGCGCCGCUGGCCUCGUAAAAAGCGGCAAAAAAGUAAACGCGAAUAACAAUCUCGCCUACGCUGCCUAACGUGCAGCGCGUUGCCCGGAACCCUGCCAGCGGGGUCCGCCAGUAGCGACGCAAAGGCUGGCUCGAAGGAAGGGCUUCAGUCCGUAGCCUGACCUUCUAAACUCAACCGGACUCGGCGGAAGCUUCGCUUGCCUCUCGGCAGGGCCCCGCCUAAACCAAUGAGAGGAGACGCUCGUGGUGACCUAUGCGGCGGCGAUUUUGGAACAGGGUUCAAUUCCCUGCGCCUCCACCA
rnacentral:tmRNA from 1 species